GGACGAACUAUUAAGAAUUAAGAUGUUACAAAACGUAAUUCGAUAUAGUGUACAAUAUUUAUAUAAACAAUUUUUUAUAGAUUUUAACAUAGUUAUUGGCGAAAAAAUUAUGUGCAUUUUUUGGAUUCUUAGAACUGCCUGUUAUUACAUUGGAACGCUUUACGUGUUCGAAAUCGAGCGGAGUGGAGGAGAUGAAUCGCGAUGCAACAUCAUAGCCAAAAUUGGAUUAUUCCGAUAAGCAAAUGGGCUUCAUGAACGUGAAUCGACCGUCAUGUCAUAGAUUGUUAUCGGAAAAUAUAUCAAGUAAUCAAGAAGCUAUCAGGAUCUGGAAAAUACGAAGAUGAAUCAGACGCGAGGAAUUACUUGAUGUUUGGAAAAUAUACGAAUGAUAAUUCUGACGUAAAAAUCAAGGAAUUCUAAGAAGCAGCUUCCUAGGAAGCGGACGAACCUGUUUCAACGCCGGAUUAUACGAGGAUGUUAAUUUUCUAUUAACUCGAUGUAAAAUCAAAAAAAUCACUCGUUUUGAAGAAUCUUAUACAAGUGUGAAAUUUUAUACGGUAUGAUGCGAAAUCAGGAAGUUGCGGAAAAUAUCAAUUAAAUCUUGUAACUUGAUCGAUGAAAUUAUCGCAUGAAAGCGUUUAAUUGUGAUUAUAGAGAUUACCGGAUAAAAUGAUGGGUUUUCCAAGUGAUUGAUUCGAUCUUAUCAGCAAAUAUUAAUUUCUAUAUUAUAAAUUCGAUCUUUGGUUAUAGGAUAUAUGCGUGUUCUCGCAAAUCUAAACGAAUAAUUAAUUAUUUUUUAUUAUAUCUCGUUUGCAAUCCAUUAAAAAAUUUAAUAAAAAUAAUAAAAAAAUGUAUGUAAUUAAUUUUAUUACCACGUUAUAUAGUUUCUUUCAUUAUAAUUUAAUUUUUUAUUGUUUUAUAUGUAAUUAUUUCACAAAAUGUAUUUUCUGGGAAUUGGUUCAUAAGCAAAAAAAUUAAUGUAAAAUCGAUGUAGAUUUUUUAAAUCUUUCAUUGUGAUUUUUUGAUUGAUGAGUUCCAUUUGUACUGAAAAUAAUUUCUAGGUAAUGUCAUCAUUGAAUAAUUAAUAAAUUGCAUUUUCAUAAA